rnacentral:rRNA from 1 species
AUUGAACGCUGGCGGCAGGCCUAACACAUGCAAGUCGAACGAGUGGCGGACGGGUGAGUAAUGUCUGUGAAACUGCCUGAUGGAGGGGGAUAACUACUGGAAACGGUAGCUAAUACCGCAUACCAUCAGAUGUGCCCAGAUGGGAUGAGCUAGUAGGUGGGGUAACGGCUCACCUAGGCGACGAUCCCUAGCUGGUCUGAGAGGAUGACCAGCCACACUGGAACUGAGACACGGUCCAGACUCCUACGGGAGGAAGCAGUGGGGAAUAUUGCACAAUGGGCGAAAGCCUGAUGCAGCCAUGCCGCGUGUGUGAAGAAGGCCUUCGGGUUGUAAAGUACUUUAAGCGGGGAGGCGUUACCAGCAGAAGAAGCACCGGCUAACUCCGUGCCAGCAGCCGCGGUAAUAC